AAGUUAAUAGAAAAUUUUAAUUUCUAUCCAAUGUUUUCAAAACAAUUGCUAUUUAAGCUUAUUAACU
rnacentral:tRNA from 1 species